UACACUCCUACGGGAGGCAGCAGUGGGGAAUAUUGGACAAUGGGCGCAAGCCUGAUCCAGCCAUGCCGCGUGAGUGAUGAAGGCCCUAGGGUUGUAAAGCUCUUUCACCGGUGAAGAUAAUGACGGUAACCGGAGAAGAAGCCCCGGCUAACUUCGUGCCAGCAGCCGCGGUAAUACGAAGGGGGCUAGCGUUGUUCGGAUUUACUGGGCGUAAAGCGCACGUAGGCGGACUAUUAAGUCAGGGGUGAAAUCCCGGGGCUCAACCCCGGAACUGCCUUUGAUACUGGUAGUCUUGAGUUCGAGAGAGGUGAGUGGAAUUCCGAGUGUAGAGGUGAAAUUCGUAGAUAUUCGGAGGAACACCAGUGGCGAAGGCGGCUCACUGGCUCGAUACUGACGCUGAGGUGCGAAAGCGUGGGGAGCAAACAGGAUUAGAAACCCCAGUAGUCCCAUGAU
rnacentral:rRNA from 1 species